AUGCAAAUUAUUUUGUGGGAAGGUGUGUUAAUAGAGAUGAUACUCCUACUGAUGAUUAUUUCAUCUGUUAGUGGUCAGUCUUUGACCUCCUCAGAUUCUGUGGUGAAAAAGCCUGGAGACUCAGUGACUCUGUCCUGCUCCGUGUCUGGAAUCUCAAUGACUUAUUCCUGGUUGGACUGGAUCCGUCAGAAACCAGGGAAAGGACUGGAGUGGAUUGGGCGUAUUGAUGGUGGCACUAGCACUGUUUUUGCUCAGUCUCUACAGGGCCAGUUCUCCAUCACUAAAGACACCAGCAAAAACAUGCUGUAUUUAGAGUCUGUUGGUGUCAAACACUGACUGAGUCUGAGUCAGUGGUCAUUAAACCUGGAGGAUCUCACAGACUCACCUGUACAGUCUCUGGAUUUAGUGGUGACCCACACUUAGCUUGGAUCAGACAGACUGCAGGAGGAGGUCUGGAGUGGCUGGCAUAC